AAAAUUAGUAGGUCAUUAGAAAGACUAUAGAUCUUGACUGCAUGCUGAGGUGGCAACCCCUAAACCCUACUCAAAUAAAUGUGGGACAGGAAGCGGAAGGAGCAGCGUUACCUUUUGAAGACUGGCCGAUGCUGUACAGGUGUGUUAUGUCGGGAUUGGAGGUGCUGACCUGCUUGAGGUACUGCUCAAUCUCAUGGUUGUUGUGAUACCGAAACUCCAACGCCCAGGUGGGUGUGAAGAGGAAGAAGGGAGGGAGGAGGAAGAGGAGGAGUGAUAACAUCACUGCAGUAUGACCUGUGGAGGGAAACAAAACGAUUUUUAAAGAUGUUAUACUUCCAGAAGAAAAAACAGCUUUGCUGCUGCAUAAUCCUCUUGUUCCUUGAGAGCCAUACCUCCCACUUAUAAAGUCUCUGCUUGAAAAUAAAGGACUCCAACAUCCUGAAUUUUAAGGAAUUUUGUUAGCAUCACAUCACU